rnacentral:lncRNA from 1 species
AAUCUCAAAUUUACCACAAAAUCUCCCAAUUUUACCUCAAAAUCUCUUGAUUUUACCACAAAAUCUCCCAAUUUUACCUCAAAAUCUCUUGAUUUUACCACGAAAUCUCCCAAUUUCACCCCAAAGUCUGGAAUUUACCCCAAAACCUCCCGAUUUCACCAAAAUCACUCCCCAGAUUUAGGCCCAGAGAGCCUAAAAACCUCCAGAUUUCCCCCCAAAAUCCCUCCAGAAACCACCAAACCUCCUGAAUUUCACCCAAAACCUCCUGAAUUUCACCCAAAACCUCCUGAAUUCACUCGAAACCUCCUGAUUUCCCCCCAAACAGCCCCAAAAUCUUUUUUUAUUUCCCCACAAAUCUCACCUGAGGCCCCUCGAAACCUCUGGAUUUCCCCCAAAACCUCCACAAAUCCCCUCAUUUCUCCUAAAACCUCCCCAAAUCCCCUCCUUUUCCCUCAGAACUUCCUCAAAUCCCCUCAUUUCCCUCAAAUCCCCUCAUUUUUCCUCAAAACCUCCUCAAACCCCCUCGUUUUCCCUCAAAUUCCCUCAUUUUUCCUCAGAACCUCCCAAAACCCCUUUGUGUCCCUCAAAUCCCUUCGUUUUCCCUCAAAACCUCCCCAAAUCCCCUCAUUUCCCUCAAAUCCCCUCAUUUUCCCUCAAAAGCUCCUCAAACCCCCUCAUUUUCCUUCAAAUCCCCUCAUUCCUCCUCAAAACCUCCCCAAAUCCCUUCACGUUUCUCAAACUCCCUCUUUUUCCCUCAGAACUUCCCCAAAUCCCCUAAUUUCCCUCAAAUCCCCUCAUUUUCCCUCAAACCCCCCCAAAGCCCCUCAUUUUCCCUCAGAACUUCCCCAAAUCCCUUCAUUUCUCCUCAAAACCUCCCCAAACCCCCUAUUUUCCCUCAAAAGUUCCUCAAACCCCCUCAUUUUCCCUCCAAACCUCCCCAAACCCCCUAAUUUCCCUCAAAUCCCCUCAUUUUCCCUCAAAACCUCCUCAAAUCCCCUCAUUUUCUCUCAAACCCGCUCAAAUCCCCUCGUUUUCCCUCAAAUCCCCUCGUUUUCCCUCAAAACCUCUC